rnacentral:rRNA from 1 species
GACGAAGGGGGCUAGCGUUGUUCGGAAUUACUGGGCGUAAAGGGCGCGUAGGCGGUUCGUUAAGUCCUGUGUGAAAUCCCCCGGCUCAACUGGGGAACUGCACAGGAAACUAGCGGGCUUGAGUUCGGGAGAGGGAUGCGGAAUUCCAGGUGUAGCGGUGAAAUGCGUAGAUAUCUGGAGGAACACCGGUGGCGAAGGCGGCAUCCUGGACCGGCAUUGACGCUGAGGCGCGAAAGCCAGGGGAGCAAACGGG